GAUGAACGCUGGCGGCGUGCCUAAUACAUGCAAGUCGAGCGAACAGACGAGGAGUUUGCUCCUCUGACGUUAGCGGCGGACGGGUGAGUAACACGUGGAUAACCUACCUAUAAGACUGGGAUAACUUCGGGAAACCGGAGCUAAUACCGGAUAAUAUAUUGAACCGCAUGGUUCAAUAGUGAAAGACGGUUUUGCUGUCACUUAUAGAUGGAUCCGCGCCGCAUUAGCUAGUUGGUAAGGUAACGGCUUACCAAGGCAACGAUGCGUAGCCGACCUGAGAGGGUGAUCGGCCACACUGGAACUGAGACGCGGUCCAGACUCCUACGGGAGGCAGCAGUAGGGAAUCUUCCGCAAUGGGCGAAAGCCUGACGGAGCAACGCCGCGUGAGUGAUGAAGGUCUUCGGAUCGUAAAACUCUGUUAUUAGGGAAGAACAAAUGUGUAAGUAACUAUGCACGUCUUGACGGUACCUAAUCAGAAGGCCACGGCUAACUACGUG
rnacentral:rRNA from 1 species